UAGUUACUCCCUCCGAUCCAUAUUAAUUGUCUCAAAUUUGCCAAAAUAUGGAUGUAUCUAUGCCUAAAAAGUGUCUAGAUACAUGUAAUAUUUCGACAAUUAAUAUGGAUCGGAGGGAGUACUUA
rnacentral:pre_miRNA from 1 species